AAUUAAACGUCAAUCCACAGGAAGUAUAUAAUCAGAAUCAGGAUUACAAAGUAAUCAAGAAGUAAAAAUGAAGUUUUUCAGUGUUUAUCAUUUAUUUUUCGCUGUUAUCAUGAUAUUUUUGAUUAAUUUUGGUAAUACUCAAGAACCUUGUGGUCCUAAUGAGACAUUUGAAGCUUGCCCUUGUUUGGUGACUUGCGCUGAUCCAGCUCCAAAUUGUACCGAAAUCGAUUGCAGACCCGGCUGUCAAUGUAAACCAGGAUUUGCUUUCUUCGAAACUGAAUGUAUUAACGCCACAGAGUGUCCUUCAACUGCAUCAGUAUAAAUAAACACAUUGAGACGAA